GGGUCGUUAGCUCAGUUGGUAGAGCACCUGACUCUUAAUCAGGCUGUCGCGGGUUCGAAUCCUGCACGACCCACCA
rnacentral:tRNA from 2 species